CCUCUCUGGAACUGAGCCUGUGUGUGCCACAACUUCUCUGGUUUACUCAUCUGAGAAAAGGAGAUUCAGACUCAGUAUGUGCUGAGCUGUUAGUGUAUACCAGGCUCUGUGAUCAGCCCUUUGCAUGGAGAAAUGUGUUCACAACCCCAUGAGCCAACACAAGAAAGGGGCCCAGUGCCUGGCCCGGAAUAGACCCUCCAUAGAUGUUUGUUGAAUGACUGAAUGAAAUGCAGAAUUGGCUGCGUUGGCGGAAUGUAUCUGGCACAAGACCUGCCCGCCACCCACUGUCUGCCAGCUCAGAGCCCAGCCUGGGUUUCCACAUCUGCUGGU